rnacentral:rRNA from 1 species
CCUACGGGUGGCAGCAGUUCUUACUAUUGUUCCCUGGUCGGGCGCCUGAACCAGCCAAGCCGCGUGAGGGAGGAAGGUACAGAGUAUCGUAAACCUCUUUUGUCAGGGAACAAAGACUGGGACGCGUCCCCGGAUGAGUGUACCUGAAGAAAAAGCAUCGGCUAACUCCGUGCCAGCAGCCGCGGUAAUACGGAGGAUGCGAGCGUUAUCCGGAUUUAUUGGGUUUAAAGGGUGCGCAGGCGGUCUGUUAAGUCAGCGGUCAAAGCCCGGGGCUCAACCCCGGCCCGCCGUUGAAACUGGCAGUCUCGAGUUGGAGAGAAGUAUGCGGAAUGCGCGGUGUAGCGGUGAAAUGCAUAGAUAUCGCGCAGAACUCCGAUUGCGAAGGCAGCAUGCCGGCUCCACACUGACGCUGAGGCACGAAAGCGUGGGUAUCGAACAGGAUUAGAUACCCCUGUAGUC